GGCAAUCGAUUGUCUUGAUCAGUGAAUUAAUCAGCUUGUGUAAUCAGCUAAGACUGAAAGGAGCCCAAUGCUGACCUUCACAACACAAGAUAAGUUAAGGUAGCACGUUCCAAAUGCUAGAAAGUGGAACUGGCACAUUCAGGAAAAGUGGAGUGAGGUUUAAUAAAUAUGGUUUGGGUAUGCUUGACAUAGACCGAUGAAUGCACUUGAGCAGAAGCAGAACAACUAAAAUAGAAGAGGAAGGCCAAAAAUGACAAGGCCUUUACU
rnacentral:misc_RNA from 1 species